rnacentral:lncRNA from 1 species
AUUAAUAUUAAUUUUAGUAUAGUCUCCAGGUAUAAUCUGAAAAAGAAUACUUGGUAAGAAAGCAUUAAUCUUAUGCUUUAAAAAACAUUUAAAAACAAGGUCUAAAGCAUUCAUCAAAGUGUGCAUAACUUUUAAAAAUGAAGAUGGCAGAGUCUUGUUAUAUUAUCCACUUUGGUCUCAAACUCCUGGGCUCCUCAAGCCAUCUUUCAGCCUCAGCCUCCUGAGUAGCUGAGAUUACAAGCAGGUACCACCAGGCCCUUUUAGGCUUUCAAUAUUCUACGUUUUUCUAUUGUUGAUUAAAAUGCAUUUUACUUUUUUUUAAAAAUAGUGGAUGGGCGUUCUGAAGACUCUGCUGUCAGGUAGGAUUCACAGAUUUUUAAAAAUUAUAUGUUAACUAAGGUAAUACAGAGAAAAGAAACUAACAUCUCUUGAGUGUUGUACUCUGGGCUAGAAACCAUAUUAUAUGCUUAACUCAUACAGUCAUCGUAACAGCUUUGCAAACUAUCCAGGCUAUUAUAACCAACUUUUUACUAAUUAAGCUACUGUGGUUCAGAGAAGUUAACUGGCCAUGAUCCGAUAAUUAACAAGCAGCUGACCUAUGAUUUGACCACCAGCUUGCUGGACUCCCAAGCUCCUUCUCUGUCCCUCAGCGUAGACUGAUAGAUACCGUGCAGCCCUGGGAUCAAGGUACAGGUACAAAUUAGAUGAAUUCAGAAAGUCAGAUCUAGUUAUAUAUUAACUCUGGCUUACACACUUUUCCUUAGAAGCCUGUUUAAUUCAGGAGUUUGUCCUAAUAUACUGAACAAUUUCAGUGGUAACCAGUGCCUCAUUUUUACCCUCGAAGGUUUCAGGGCAGGUCUCAUUUAGCUAUAGCCGCCGGACCAUGGGUUUUACAUAAGCAAGACCAGGCAAGUCCUGAAGAGGAAUUAUUUUCUUGUUUUCUGGCAAACAAACUAUUGAUUAUUUAUUGCCUACAUCAGAUGAUGAAGACAUUGAUUCUGAUAUCAAGGAUGGAGCAAUUAAGCCAGCAAAUGGACAAAGACAAAAUGAUACUGGUGUUAUUGCAAGUGCCCCACAAGAAUACACAAAUAAUGACAGUUUAAUUUUUGUUGACAAAAACAACAGAAGUGAUACAACAGCCACAUCAGGAUCCGGACAAGACAGAAAUAUGGAAUCACUUUUGGAUUCUGAGGACGGAGCAGCUAAGCCAGCAAAUGGAAAAAGACAAAAUGGUACUGAUAUUAUUGAACGCACCCCAUGAGAGCACACAAAUACUGCAGUGUCCUCAUCAGGAUCAGGACAAGACGGCAAUAUAGAAUCACUUUUGGAUUAUGAAGUAUUAGCUGUUGUUUUUUUGUUGUUAUAUAAAAAAAUAAAACCAUUCUGUGAUGUUAAAUCAUAAAAGAG